UACAACGUCCCGCAACUAGGAAAAAAUCAAUGAUAAAAAGGAAAGUAAAACAAAAAGGGAAAAUGGCCUCUUAUUAUUCUCUCAUUAUU
rnacentral:ribozyme from 1 species